AGGGUGUAAACGCUGCCGACUUGGUGUUGGAGGCCCUUCGGGGGCAUUCAGUGCCGGAGAGAAGUUGUUAAGUCGGCCACUUGGGAGUACGUCCGCAAGGAUGAAACUUAAAGGAAUUGGCGGGGGAGCACCGCAACGGGAGGAGCGUGCGGUUUAAUUGGAUUCAACACCGGAAAACUCACCAAGGGCGACUGUCACAUGAAAGCCAGGCUAAUGACCUUGCUUGAUUUUCAGAGAGGUGGUGCAUGGCGUCAGUGACU
rnacentral:rRNA from 1 species